CGCUAUUUGAAAAAGACUUUAAACUUAUUGCAUAAAAUUGGUAGCCAAAUGUCUUAUUUUUUCAUCUUUACCAUACCAAUAUGGAAGGCUUGAUAAACUGACCCUACCAUUUAUUCCAAUAUCAUUGGAUUUUUGACAUUCUCUUGACAAUAGACACAGCACCCCCCUUCCCCCCUCCUUGAAAAAAAUGGAUUUGCUGAUUUUUCUUAACACAAAUUUGCUAUUAUCGGAGUCGCGGAGGAGCAAUUGCCUGUGAACUCCCAAGAGACACUUCUCCCGCUUAUAUUUUUAAUUGUUGGUUUCCCCUUUGGACUACCUGUGGUUCAUUCAAAUUGAAUUUCCCUUGAGUAUCCCAGGUUUUCGUAGAACAUAAAUAAGCAAUCCAUUUGCUUUAUAAUCAAUAUUCUGAAUUAUAAACCAGAUAUUAAGUAUGAUGCAUAACAAAGUUUUGAUGAUGCUAAUGGAAACUUGAGGAUAAUAUCGUUCGCUCUGGCAUUCUGCAAUGAAUUCGGCAAUUCUUUCGCUGGUUUAUACAAUCCAAGAUGGCCUACUUGAUGGUGCUCUAUUGUGACUUCAGCUAGAUUUAUAAAUCAACUAAAUCUCUAAACUUCUCAACUUUGUUCGAUACUGGAUUUUGUAUUGCACCGUAAAGCUUCGACAAAUAGAAGACAUUCGAUGCCUGGACGCAGAGGUAGAGGACGCAGGCUGAUUGCGUUCAAUUGAGAUAAAGUCGAAGAUUCACCAUCGUGUCCUUCCUACGUUCUGAAAGAAGGACUCACAAAUUCCUCUUCAAAGCUCCAUCAAUGUAGCCAGUUGAUGCCUUGAACAACUAGAAAUUGGAUAUGAAUGGGAUCUGGACUAAAACCUUCAUAAAAACUUGUAUGACUUUUGCAGGUAUGUCGGUUCCCUUUCCUUUAAAUUCCAAAAUUACAAACUUAA